ensembl:snRNA U6 U6 spliceosomal RNA
GUGCUCGCUUCUGCAGCACAUAUACUAAAAUUGGAACGAUAGAGAAGAUUAGCAUGGCCGCUGCGCAAGGAUGACAUGCAAAUUCGUGAAGUGUUCUAUACUUUU